UUUUGUGUUUGUCCUGUUACCAUAGACAUGCUCACCCAGUUUUGUAUUCAUGAUAAAACUGGUGUCCACCACUGAUUUCUAUCUCUGGAGUUAUCCAUCUUCCUUGUAGCGGUGCUGCUUUUGAAUCUUUCCUUUAGCUUGUUUUGCAUUGUUUCUUUGCGGACGGGUUUCCCCGAACCACCUCCCCCCACCCCCCAAACCUGGUUGAUAUAUCUCCGUGGGACUGCAGCCAGAGUUGACCGUUGGCUCCGAAAGCUUGACGGACAGAGUGGAGGUAACUAAAAGGGUUUAGGGAAAGGUCAUCCGCAACCAAAAUCAAUCUCAGCCAAUUGUUUCUAACUCGUAUUUUCAGCGCCUGCCUAUGAAUCUCCAGAGCGCCGAGAGUUAUGCUUGGACUGGGGCCUAAAUUGGCAAAGACAAACUCCAUUCCAGGUGACUAAGCAUGUGCGCUUCUUGGGCUUUGAAGAA